rnacentral:rRNA from 1 species
UGGGGAAUAUUGGACAAUGGGCGCAAGCCUGAUCCAGCCAUACCGCGUGGGUGAAGAAGGCCUUCGGGUUGUAAAGCCCUUUUGUUGGGAAAGAAAAGCAUUCGGUUAAUACCCGAUUGUUCUGACGGUACCCAAAGAAUAAGCACCGGCUAACUUCGUGCCAGCAGCCGCGGUAAUACGAAGGGUGCAAGCGUUACUCGGAAUUACUGGGCGUAAAGCGUGCGUAGGUGGUUGUUUAAGUCUGUCGUGAAAGCCCUGGGCUCAACCUGGGAAUUGCGAUGGAAACUGGGCGACUAGAGUGUGGCAGAGGGUAGUGGAAUUCCUGGUGUAGCAGUGAAAUGCGUAGAGAUCAGGAGGAACAUCCGUGGCGAAGGCGACUGCCUGGGCCAACACUGACACUGAGGCACGAAAGCGUGGGGAGCAAACAGGAUUAGAUACCCUGGUAGUCCACGCCCUAAACGAUGCGAACUGGAUGUUGGGUGCAAUUUUGGCACGCAGUAUCGAAGCUAACGCGUUAAGUUCGCCGCCUGGGGAGUACGGUCGCAAGACUGAAACUCAAAUGAAUUGACGGGGUCAUAGC